rnacentral:sRNA from 28 species
GAAACGCGAACCAAGCGGCGGCGUAAGCCGUGUGAGGCUUGGAGCUGGCCUCGGCAAUGAGGCCAUGCA